rnacentral:ribozyme from 1 species
AAAAAAAGUACCAUGCAGAAAAGAAACAGAACAAUCAAUCGAGGGGAAUUAACCGCCACUUGGAGUCUUUGUGUGUGUUUUCUUUCUUUCCGUCUUUCUUCUUUCUUCUGCCCUCUUUUCUUUUUUUCUGCUC